rnacentral:rRNA from 1 species
GUGCUAAGGUAGCAUAAUCAUUUGCCUUUUAAUUGAAGGCUAGUAUGAAAGGACACACAAGGAUAAAGCUGUCUCACUUAAAUUAAUUAUAAACUGAUAUUUAGGUGAAGAAGCCUAAAUUAUAAUAAAGGACAAGAAGACCCUAUAGAGCUUUACUGGCUAGAGCGUCAUACUUAAUACCAGUUUGGUUGGGACAACCAAAAGACAUUAUCACCUCUUUUUGCAAUAUCAAAAUACUCACCCAAUAAUGUAUAAAAAAUAGCUACCUUAGGGAUAACAGGCUAAUCCCAUUAGAGAGACCACAUUGACAAUGGGGGUUGGCACCUCGAUGUUGGCUUAGUGUUACUAUUAGGCGCAGCCGCCUAACGCAG